rnacentral:rRNA from 2 species
UGUCGAUGAAGAGCGCAGCCAACUGUGUGAAUUAAUGUGACCUGCGUACUGCUUCGAACAUCGACAUCUUGAACGCAUAUUGCGGCCAUGGGCUAGCCUGUGGCCACGCCUGUCCGAGGGUCG